UACGUAGGUGGCGAGCGUUGUCCGGAAUUACUGGGUGUAAAGGGCGUGUAGGCGGGAGAGCAAGUCAGAUGUGAAAUUCCAUGGCUUAACUGUGGGGCUGCAUCUGAAACUGCACUUCUUGAGUACUGGAGAGGAAAGUGGAAUUCCUAGUGUAGCGGUGAAAUGCGUAGAUAUUAGGAGGAACACCAGUGGCGAAGGCGACUUUCUGGACAGAAACUGACGCUGAGGCGCGAAAGCGUGGGGAGCAAACAGG
rnacentral:rRNA from 1 species